AUCAUAACCCAAGUCCAACCCAUCAUUGUUCCUCUAUUAUUCAAUCAUAAUAGGCUAGAGUUAACUGACAUAACGCAAAAGCACAAUAUCAAAAUACUUAACACAAGUUGAAAUUAUUGAACAUUUUCGUACUUACAUUGGUGUAUUCAAACAUCUUUUCCUAUCAUAUUUAGGAAGACCAUCCCACAACUCGAUCAUUUUAAGAACAAUGACGUGACAAUCAUUUGGAAUACUUACAACACCAUAUAUACAAAUUAUUUGAUCAAAACACUAAGACAAAUAACUUACAUGUUAGGUUGAAUAGGAGUAGCAAGAUAUUGUACUUUAAAUGUUAGUUUAACAAGAGUUCCAUGUUAUGGGCCUGCACAUAAAUAAGAGAAGUUAAAAUAUGAACUACAUGGUAAAUUAACCAAACUAAUUACAUGUUAAAUAGUUUUUUAUCCUUUUACGUUCCUGUGUGUGUUGUGCCAGAGUGAAUCGAGAAUAAAUAAGUCCACUAGUUGACAUUUUACAACAUAACACUACCCAUGGUUGUCAUUCAGAAUUAGGGCAACCAACUAAAGAACAAUCAAUAUAAAAGUAGGUUCAUCAACAGAUGAAAUUGUUUAAAACUUUAACAAAGUUAAAUAAUGGAUAUAGGUAAAGUAGCUCACAAGUCAAGAUAUCUUCUAGGGUAACCAACCGUCCACAAUAUUGAAGCUGCAAGAUUUAUUCAUAGAUUAAGAUUCUGAUCAUUUUUGUAAUAUCAGAUAAAAAAUGCACAAUGAGAAAAUUUGCGAGGGACAGAAAAGAAAAACAAGAAUGAACGCUGGAAUGUAUAUAUCUGUUGGUGGCUCUAGAACAUGGAUUCAUUACCAUGUGUUAUGCUCUUGGUGCUCUUCAGCGCCACCUGUUACUCCACACCGAAUCAUCAUCUGUUUCCAUUUGACAAGUGUAAACUCCUCUCUCUCGUGUCUUCUCUUCUCGUAUCCGCAGAAGGGAUAUAUAUAUUCCAAGUCUCAACCCAAAACCAAUACAAAAAAGACAUAUAAUCCAUUCUCUUCACCAUGAGCCAGGAGCAGCCUAAGAGACCUCAAGCGGAGAAACAUCCAAUCGAAUACGGCGACGUUUUUGACGUCUCCGGCGAUUUGGCAUCCCAACCCAUCGCUCCAAAAGACGCAGCCCUCAUGCAAACUAAAGAGAACCAAAUAUUAGGCAAAAAUCUAAAGGGAGGCCCCGCCUCCGUCAUGCAAUCCGCGGCCGCCGUCAACGUCCUCCACGGCGACGUCGGUCAUGGCGAACUCUCCGCCGUGGCAAGGGAGCAAGGCGUUAGCGUCUCCGAAGGCAAACUGGAUGGCCAACGCGUCAUCACCGAGUCGGUAGGAAGACACGUGGUGGGGCAGUUCUUUGAGCCCGAGAUUCCGAUGAAAACCCCGGCCACCGCGCUGGAGCGAGAUGCCAUAACCAUCGGCGAGGCGCUGGAAGCGACUGCGGUGGCCGGAGCGGGCGACAAGCCGGUGGAUGAAAGCGACGCCGCCGCAAUACAAGUAGCCGAAAUGAGAGCCACAGGGAAGAACGAGACAGAGAGUGGGGGGUUGGGCGCCCGGGCCCAGUCAGCAGCCACACAUAACACACGCACUUUGCCUCUGUCCGAAAAGACAACCUUGUCUGAUGUCUUAACAGUAAUUAACCUGUCUUACCUCUUGUUUUUCACCAAGAAUGAGAAAUUAACUGUUACUGUGAAUGUAGGAUGCGAGGGAAAAACUGCAAGCUGAUAAGGCGGUGACGCGAGAAGAUGCAGAGGGAGUGAUUGGAGCUGAGCUGAGGAACAAGUUGGACAUGAAAACUACCCCUGGUGGGGUCGCUGCGUCCAUGGCUGCAGCAGCCACAAUUAAUCAAAAGAGUUAAGUUUCUUAAAUACUAGGUAGUAUCUCUUUUUACGUUGUAUGAGAAUAUUAUUGUAGAUUUUCAUGCUUGUGUGAAACGUGCAGGGAAAUAAGGGAUGAUACAUGAAGAUCUUACAUAUAUGGCAGAGCUUAAGCAAAUAAAUCAAGUCACUCUGAGUUUGACUUGGAACACUACGCUACUUCUACUUCUAAAACUUUUUAGUUUGAACACUUUUUUUGUAUGUUUCACACUCUUUGUUACUUUGUGUACUCGGAUCCUCCUACUUUAAUGGUAGUGUUGUUUCUUUUUUUUUCUACAAGAAAGAUAGAUUCAUUGCUUUCCAUGGGAAAGGGAAGGGAAUUUUGGGCUGAAUAGGCCCAUAGCUAACUUCUAUGAUAAAGACCGAAACCCUAUAUGUAGGUGGGCUGACAAAAUAAAAUAAGAAGCAUUUCCUAACAAAAACAUAAUCAAUAUUUUGAUUAAUCCUCCUAUUUCCUAUGUAACAUUCUAAAAUAUAUUUUUAAUAAGUCAAAAUUUUCGAUUUUCUUCUAAUACCAAACUUUAAAGUCAAGCUAAAAGCCACAAAUUUAAUUCAUUUUCAAAAUUUAAACACAAAGAGGCAUCGUAUAUAUCAUUUUUACGGGCUAAACUCUAAUCUAGACUUGGUUGAAUAAAACCUGGAGAAAGCUUGUUAAAUUUUUACGAGCUAAACUCUAAUCUAGACUUGUUUGAAUAAAAGGUGCUCAACUUUUAAUUUUUGGUUAGUUGGAAGUUGAAUGUGGUAAAAGAAAAAAUAGUUUGUAUGGAUUUUACGCUAACUAGCUCCAAACCUGUCUAAAAAAGAUUUAUAUUGAAGAAUAGGGCUAAAGUGUAGGUACUAGUGAUGAUAUUGUUUUGGGUGUCCGACAGAAGCACGCCCUAUGAUUUAUUUGAUGAUUAACUUGUGGAUUACUUUCUAUAAUUAUUUUCUAGUAAAGAAUUGAAUUGUGACAAGGUUAAAAUAAUGGUUUUUCCUUCCUCCACGUGAAAUCCAUGAUUGUUGAGGGGACGUAGCAAGGAAAAAGAAAGAAUAAACAUAGCUUUUGCGAAUGAGAAAAAAAAUGAGUAAGCAUUUGAAUUUAGCAGUUUGUAUGGUGACGAAUAAAAGAGCAUGUGCAGUGAAAUAGCCAAGUUAGAAAAAAAGCAUAUCUUUCUGGUAAAGCCUUUAAUGCAUGAAUGGCAGGCAGAGACAGAUGAUGAGUCCAACACAUCAUCGCAUGCUAUUUCUAUCCAGCGAUACGUGAUACUGACAUACCCACGUUCAGUCUGCUUCAAGUGGGACACCAUACACAUAAACAUUCAAAUUCAAAGCUAAACCAAACUAAGAUCAAUUUAGCUCAUCAAAUAACAACACUCUCAUCAAUUUACGAUAAAACAAACGAAACAAAACAAACUCAACCUGUCAAUCCAUGCAAGGACACUCUGUCAAUCUUCCUAUCUUCAAAUCUUGAUUGCAAUCUUCGGAUAUCUUCCUAAACUAUUUAUCAAAAUCCCAGUCUUCACUAAUUAAUGAUUCUGUAAUUAAAUCCAGUGAUAUCUGCACGCUUGAGGUUGAGUUGUUCAUGCUGCAAAUCAUAUCAUUCUGCACAAUUAAUCAUUCUUCUCCGCCACUCUUAGACUGUUAAGGGUGUCGGUUUCGUACCAAUAUCAUAUAUAUAUAUAUAAUGGUAUACACAUUAUAGAAGAGGAAAAAAUAAAUAUUUAUAUUUAUAUGAAGGUACAGUGGAACACUAUUGGUGCAUGAGUGAGUUGGUAAGUGUGCAUGUGGACAAAUGCAAUUUAUAUACUGUUACACAAGCUCAUUCUCAGUAUAUGUAUGGGAUUGAGUAAGACUCAUGAAGACCCUUGUCACUCAAUGAUGGGACUUUUGUUCAUGGGAGAUAAACAACAAUUAGAUUAGAUAAGAGGCUAAAAUAUACAAAGUUUAGUGUUUUUUCUAAUAUAAUGCUAUAAGUGUAAUAUAUACAAACAUAUUGAUACUAUUUUUCUAGUAUAAUACUAUUUUUAACCUAAAAUUUAAGAUUAUUAUCUUUAUAUAAUAUUUAAAUUUUUAACGCUCUAACUCUCAACACAAUGCUUUUAGUAGAUUUUUUUCAUCUAUGUCACACUCAGUUAUAAAGAAUCUAUUUUAAUAUACUUACAUUAGCUCAGAGAAAGUAAAAGACCGAAUGUAGUACCUUCUGCUGAGGAGAUUGAAUCGUGCUUAUGUCUAGAAAUGAAUAAAUAAAAUUAUAUGACAAACAUAAGUUAUUGUUGUUGGACACAUGAAGUACGAUCAUAUGAGGACAUAUAUAAUAUAACUCAAUUUUUAUAUUUGGCGGUGCAUGUGUUAAUGGGGCAAUAAUAUGAGGCGAACAUUAGAGAUUGUUGAGUUCAAAAUUCCUUUUUAAGAGCAUUUUUCUGGCUACACUAUUUUUUCAUUUCGAGAUUAUAAAAAGAAAAAAAAGAAGAGACUGGUAGCUACUAACGAAUUUAUUUUGUAUUAGUAUAUCAUUGUAUUAUUAAAAAAUGUAAAAAAAAAAAGAAAAAUUAUUUUAUCGAAUAUGGGAUUUAAUUUUAAAUGUACGUCUAAUGUUGUGUCGUCAGAUUUUAAAAAGAUGUUGAAAUAUGGGAAGGUGAAGGGCGCGUUUGAAUUGUGGAGUGAUGUUUUGGAAAGGAAGAAUACGUUGGUGUUAGGAAUUUGGUCCUUGGCUUUUUCUUUUCCUCGUUAUUGAGAAGGACGCACGUUUAGAUUCACUUGCUUCUGCACCUCUGCUACUUCCACUUCACUCAACAGUGUCUAACGUACCUCAAUCAUUGCUAUUACAUCACCAUUUUCACAACCUAUCGUAAAAAAAAAAAAAAUUGUUAAAAGAACUUUUUCUUUAUACAAAAUAAUAUACUUUUACGUAAAUAAAUCUUUUAUAUUAAUUUGAUUAUAUAAUUUUUUAUUUUUAUUUGGUUAAAUAUAUGUUUUGGUCCUCAUAUGUCAAAUUCUCAACUGGGUCUUCAUAUUUAUUUUUGUCCCAAAUGAAUCCAAAUAUUUAUUAAUUUAAGACAGUAAAACCUUUUUCGUUAACUGUUCACUGACACUGUUUAAUUGUUGCUGACGUGGUGAUACUAAUCUGUGUGAUAUUAUUGUGUGGAAAUAAAUUUUAAUUGAUAAGAUGAAAUUAGAUAAAAUAAAAGAAAAUAAAAAUAAAAACCAUCCAAAUUAGGGUUUGAAAGCGUAGGUUCUGUCUUCGUAAUGAUACUUUGCACAAUUUUGGCAGGAAUGGCUACAAUAAAUCUGCAGUAUCAGAGAGCCCUCUUCACCGUUGCUCCUUUUUUUUUUUUUUUAUCUUUUUCCAUUGCUCACCCCUUUUCCAGGGAUCACAAAAUUCACUACCAUAGGGUCUCCAUUUCCAAUUCAACUUUGGAAUUUUCCGCUACCCAUUUUGAUCCCAAUCCUGAGGAGUUGGCGCGUGGGUUCCAUGUUCCACAUCAUCUUUCUGACGCUGGUGGUGCUGCGGUGCCGGAUUCCGUCGCAGUUCGGAUACCGCGUGUUGCUGCGGUGGCUGAAGUCGCGGUUCUGGGCGAAUUGAUAUGCGAAUUAAAGAUCACGACUUAGGGUUUUGAUUUGGGGCUUUCCUUGGGUCUUUUGUAUUGUCUUGGUUGCAGGUUUGAAUGGGAGGCAACGCGUAGAGAUUAGAGAGGUUGGGGUUUUAGGGUUCUUCAUGAUUCUGGGUUGGUGAUGAAGGCGCGACGUGAUUUUGGGUUUUUCUGGGCGGUAGAGAUGAACUGUGUUUGUUUUCUGGGUUUGCAGGUGAAUGACGAUGGUGGCAUUCAAAAAGUUUGUGCGACGGUUUGGGUUAACUGUGCGACGCCUCUUCUUGGUUAUGGGUGUCGUUUUGAUUCACGCUUUGAUUCGCGUUUGGGAUGCGUUUUGUGGUUUCUUGCCUGAUGGUUGGUUUCCGAAUUUUGGGGGUUAGGGUUCGAAGUGGGUUUUUGUUUUUUUUUUCUUUUAUUUUGGAUUGGAUUCUGUUAUUGGGUGUUUCACCCUGCACUUCGACUAUCUCCGAUGGCGAGGAGCGAUGGUGACAGCGGUUGCCAGAAUCAGGGCCUUGACGGGAUUAAUGAGUCAACCAGAGGAAGAAGAAAAUAUAUAACCAGUCAUACAAUUAAAAAAUAUAAGAUAAUACCACAUCAUAUAACACUUAAACGAAAAUUUCCACGUAAUUGAAUCAAUACAAAUGACCUACUAAUGACUCCAUCCACGUAAUCAAAAUUAGACGGCGUCAGUUCAAAAUUAACGGAAAGGACUUUUGUUGGCUCAAACUAACAAAUAUUUGGAUUCAAUUGGGACAAAAAAAAUAUGAAGACCCAGUUAAGAAUUGAACACAAAUAUGAGGACCAAAACAUAUAUUUAACCUUUUUAUUUUCUUCUUUUUUAAAAAAUAUAAACAUUUAUUUUUUAUGAUAUUUUAUAUUCAUAAUUAAAUAAAUAUAAAAAUAUGUCAUUCUAUCGUUUCAUAUCAAACCCUUCCCUUUUCUGUUUUUUCUUAUUUAAUAUUAUCAUGUUAUACUAUUCAAUGGAAAUUAAAUAAUGUAUUUAAAGAGAAUUUAUAUAUAUUAAAGUAUAAUUAUGUAAUUGAAUUUUAAUUAUUGUUUUCGGUAUGUAAGAUAACUUAAAGGUAAUACCGUAUAUAUCUCAAGAAAAAAAUAAAUGAAAGAAAAUAAUAGAAAGGGACAUCAUUUCAAUCUCCAAAUUAUCUUCGUCUUAUCCUAAAUUUUGCACUUCUAGAAUAUCACCAACAAAAUGUAUUAGAGUUGUUGAUAUUACAACAACAAAAAAACAACGGCAAGUACUUUAAGAUCCCACUACACAGUUUAUGGCAAUGUCCAAGUUCCUUUAUUUGAAGGAGAAAAUUAUGAAUUGUGUACUAUAAAGAUGGAAACUUUAUUCACAUUUUUUCUGUCUAAGAGUUAAUGCAAACAAACUAUAAUAAUCAAGUUAUGUUUUGGUUGUGGAGUCGAGCUAUCAUCAAUGCUUAUAUAAUUUGUCUUUUUGGACAUUCGUUAGGUCCUCCCUUCCAUCUUCAUGUCGUCAACUCCGUUCGUUCCGUCCGUUCCGUUUUUGGAUUCGCUCCUGAUGUGAGUCCGGUCGGGCACCUGUCAAAGGUCUUCCGACGAUCGAGUCAGUGCAUUGUUCACUCAAUAAAGGAAGAACAGUAAUGAAUGUGUAGUAAAAAUGAACCAACUACCUCAUGCCUUUGACCUCCAUUUAUAGUUUUUGCCAUGGGCCCAUGAUUAGGAAAAUCUUAAUCACGACCCAAUACUGGCCCAAUAUCCUUAAUCACGUUUUACCUUAAUCUUGCUUUAAUGUUGUCCUUGACGUGUCACCGUACGGUCGAUCCGGGAUCGAUCGUGAUUGUCGUGGACAUUACAUUGGAACGAUACAAACAAGGUUAACAUGUUACCGGUGGAAGGAUGUCGUGACUACGCCGAGCAUAGUGGACGGUCGUCCAUUCAAGGACAUCCGAUAAAAUUGGACCGAUACAGACAGGGUUAGCAUGUUACCGGUGGGUAUAUGUCGCGACAGUGCCGAACAUUCUUAAUGACUUAUCAUAUGUCGUUCGGUCCCUAUGGUACACAGGCCUCCCAAGCCCUAAGCAACGUAGUUGCUGUAGGGUUUGAAUACAAGUCCCAUUGGCCGUGGGUUGGACCGCUGAAUGAUCACCAAAGACGUGAAAACUUUUGGGCGAGAAAAGACACGUGUCGUUUGUAGGGGAACCGUUAAUCCCUGGCAGUUGUAACAUCCACAUAUUUGGGCCGUUGAGCGUGGUAGCCCUGAUCGGUGACGUUGCGUUGCGGUGUUUCAAAAAAAAAUUCUAUAAAUAUGAGUGUUGUGGACUUUCAUUAUCACGUCUCUUCAUUUCUUCUCCUUCAAGCUUUCCGACAUUCUUUCUUCUCCCAGGUAAUAAAAUGACCAUUGUUGAGGUUGAAUCCUCGUUGGAGUCAUCGAGUCGAGGCGGUGGCGGCGUGAGGAGUGGUGGUGGGUAGCCUUUAGAUUCAGUAUCUUCGUCGCCUCGGGAGAGGUCUGACCAAGCGGGAGACGAGCGACUUCCGUCUUUUGAGAAUGGUGGUGAAGAGGGUUCAGGUCCACAAUCUCCCAAAUUUGGGGGGGGGGGGAUAGGAUUCUCAACGACAUUCCUAUUCAUCUGCUGAAGGGGGAGGGGUUAUUGUCAACCCCGUCCCCCUGGUUCCGGUUGGUGGCUUGCUAGAGGUGAGGAGGUAUAUCUCUUCAUUAGAUGAAAAUACAUUGAGUAUUGGACAACUUUGGAAGCAUUAUUCCCUUCGAUUUAAAAAUUAAGAAUGAAUACCUUUUUAUUUGAAAAGAAAAAUAGUUGAUGUGGUGAAAAUGACAAAUAAUAAAAGUUUUCCACUCUCUCUUAAUUAUGAAAGAGAAAACUUAAUGGCCAGAGAAGAAAAUGAUUUUUGUAUAUGGUAUAAGAGCUAAGCCACUUAAAUUACAAUGGUUUUAUUUUCAAAAGAAUAUGGUGUUUUGGCUAUCAUGAGAAGAAAAAUGAAGUGAGCGAAGGAUGCAUAUUUGGCAAAUAGUCAUUCCUGAAGGAAGGGCCAAGAGAGAUAUCCACCAAAUCAGCAUGUAAGUCUUGCAAUUUGAAAACUUGUUCAACUUUAAUCACUUCAUUAACACGUGACAUUUCAUCAACUCAUGGAACUUCCAAUUCUACAUCAUCAUAUUCUAUACGACCUCUAGGCUUUGUCUUGUUGCAACACACCAACCGCGUUUGUUAGUGUGAUGAUGGAUAUGGUGCAUAAUACAUCUAUUGUACAUUAUGUGCAACGAUAAAAGGAUCAAAUGACAUAUAUCUUUUAUCCAUUUGAAUAUCCACAUUAUCAUAUUUUGAAUCCACUUUUAUAUCUCUUCUUAAUGGAUCAAACCAAUCACAAUAAAAUAAUGCAAUUUUUAUCAAAGGUUAAAGAAUUGUACUUCACCUCAUAUAUAAGUUGAAUAACACUAUAAAAAUCAUCUUCACCUCCUUCUAUAUCACCAUUUACGUGAACUCUAUUAUUUACCAUUCUUUUUUCCUCAUUCCAUGCAUGAGUGUGAAAUUUAUACCAUUUCCAAAGAUUGUGUUAUUUUUUUACACACUUUAAUGGAACAAGUGAUAAAUCUAUGAGGAGUAUAUUCCUCACACUUAAAGGCUCUUUAUGAACUUAUAAAUAUAAGUGUGAACAUUUUGAUGAAAUAGUUAAAUAAGUCAUGCAAAAGUAAAUUAUAGAAUUUGAAGAUUCAUACAUGUCCCUUAAACCUCAAAGGAAAAUCUGCAUGUAUCUGAGUUGAAGCAUUUGACUUAGUGAUUUGAUUAGUUUGUAAGAAAUAAUAACCCUAUAAGGGAUCUUCUUUGACCAUAAAUGGCCAUGGCAUUUGUCAUGGCUCUGUAUACCGUUUUUCUCUUUCAGUAAAUUGAUUGAAUUUAUUACAUGAUAACAAGGAUAAAGGUAAACUAAACAAAGUAUAGAAUGGAUAAGAGUAAUAUAUUAAAACAAAAUUAGUAGAAACACAUUUCACUAAACACAUUGAUGGUUAAAAUUUAUCUAAAAUUACAACAAUCAGGAAAUAAGUUAGUUGUGACAUCUAUCAAUCUUUGUGAUUUUUAAUAAAUUAAAAUAGCAAAAAAGAGUUGGUAUAUAAGAAUGUGUUAGAGUGUGAUAUAUUAGAGAAUGUGCAACUCCGACCACUUAAAUACAAGUGUUCCACUCCACUAGUUAUAAAUAUUCUAAAUGAAAUAAAAUUAUAAAGGAAAAAAGAGAUCCUAGUAUUUUUCAUUGACCUUUUUCGUCCAUUUUCAUCCAUGUCACUAAAAAAUCCAAGAGAAAAUAGGGGCUUAUUUUAUAACAAACAUCACAAGAUAAAAAAUUGUUAUUGAAACAAAAUUUAGAAAGGAAGGCACUCACCCACCCAUCUCAUCUUAGCUAUGUUACACAUUAUCAAAAUUCUAAAUUGUUAUAAUUCUUCUUACCUAUCCCUAUACUUCACUUCAACAUAAACAAAUGCUUGUACAAUACCAUCUAAAUUUUGUUUCUCCAUGUAGAAAAUCAUGUGGGCUGGUUGUUUAUUGGAUAUGGAGAUUCUAGGUUAUUUUAAUUUCUAUAUAAUAACUUAUUCUUUUUACAAAUACAAUAAUCCACAAGACAUGGUUUGGUUCCUUCCAAUUGCCCCUCUAUAGUCUCAAACAUUUAUGUGUUGUUUCUACAUUUCCCUUAUGCUCCCAUUCCAUUUUCUCAUAUUUGUUGUAGUAAACCAACAAGGAGAGGCUUUUUUUCUUUUUUUCUUUUUAUCAUGGAGGACAACCUUGAACUUUUUCUACUAAUCAGCCUCAAUGCCUUACAUAAUAACUUUAAAACAUUACAAAUUCAUACCUAAGGUAUAGGUUAUUUAGCUAGGAUUUAAUCGCAACUUUAAAACAUUUUCAAAAUUUAUUUUUUGUAUAAUUAUUUUAUUAUAAUUUGUAUGUAAAAUUUGUAUAUAAUAUAUCUAUUUACUUACAUACAAAUAAAAUUAGUAUUACAUAUGAAUUGUUUUGUUUGAAAAUUGUCUUUUCCCAACUCGCCAAGUUUACAUAUGGAUAUUUUCUACAGACAUAAGUCAUCAAUUUAUCUAAAUGUUACCUAUAGAAAAAUUAGUAUGUUUUACAAAUUUACAUAUGGAUUUAAAUAUGUAUGUAAUAUUUGUACAUAAUUAAAGAAAAAGAGAAGUAAAAUUGAAGUUUUGUAAGUCAUAGAAUCAACAUGUUAAUUAAUAAUUUCACUAAAAGCUUUUUGGAGAGAGUUUUUAGAAAAUAAGAUAAGCUAUUAGGAGUUCAAUAACAAGACAUUAAAGGAGACAAUGUUGAAUAAUGAUUGUUACAAAUUUUAAUGGAUAUUGAAUGCAUGAAGGAAUCUCAAGAGCAUUUACUAAUAGUCUUUGUAUUCUCUGUUUAAAAGAGAACUUAAAUAUACUAUUAUCCUUAAGAAAAAAAUAAUUGAAAGGAAAAUUAGUUUAAUUCUCAAAUUAUUUUCCUUUUAUCAUAAUUUUUUAAUCCCAAAAUGUAACAUUUCAAUUAACAAUGCAAAAUUAUCAAUCAGGACAUUGUAUAAUUGUUAUUCAACAAGCAUACAAAGAGUACAUAAAUUAUUUCAUUUACGGUCAUCCAAAAGAAAAUGUUGACACCAAAAUAACUAUAUAUACAACCCGAAACAAAAACUGUAAAAGGCUAAGAACAAGAGAGUCUUUAAAAAGAGUAUGAAGUGUAUUCAACACCUAUUUCCUCAUCUGUUCACAACAAAUAAUGGUGGUCAGUGCAAAAACGAGAAAAACAGAUAAUACACACAUACACACAUAUGUAUCAAUACACACACGCAUGCGUACACACACACAUACACACACGCACACGCACACACACACACACAAGAUUUUACCCUAACGCACACAAGAUUAGUCCUUUAAGCCAUCAUAUGAAUCCUGAAUUCAUUCUUAAUGACAUGACCAUUCUAAUCCACUCACAAAAUAACUCAUUCUACUUUACAUAAGUCUUGAAUGGACAUUAGGGUAUCAUGAAAAACCUCUAGUACCGACUCCUUGCAUCAAUACAUACACUAAAGAAACACCAUUACUGAACCUCCGCACAAGUUUAUUGAAAUUACACUAAACUCAUACUUCCAUCCAUAAACAUGAUUUUAAAUCAAAUUUCCAAUACCAAACAAUUAUCUAUAUUUGUAUUCGUCCAUCCUAAGUAAUAUCAUGCUCAUGAUCAAUUAUAACCAUCAUAUAAUUUCAUACAUGUUCAUUUUCAUUAACAAGCCCAUCAUCGUCACAAUUUCAUACAUCAUUAUACACAUUAAUAUUUAUUAAUGAAUCCAUAAGCAAUUCUAUAAGCAACCACAUGCCUUCUUUUAUUCGAAGAUCAAACCAAAACCACAUAGGAAAAGUAGAAAAACAGGGUGGUGCCCGACAUAGGAAAAGUGGUUCCCAGCUCAACAACCCCCUGAAACCCAUCAUUUAAGUGCGUACAACGGUCCAAAAGUGACACCCAAUAUCCCUAAGUCAAUGUUCGUUGUCUCGAUGACGCAUGAGAUGGAUCGGUGACAUACUUCCUUUAGUUCUAGCACAUGAGAUGGAUCAGACACAUAAUUCCUUAAUUAAGAAACAUGAAACAUCGAAUGAAGAUUGGCCAAUUAAGGAGGAGAGCCAAUCUCGUAAGCCAUUGGUCCAAUUUUUCUCAAGAUCUAAUAUAGGCUAAUGAACUUGAGAAGCUUUCUCGAAUAGAUAACAUUUCUUAUACUAAUGGUUGGGGUUACUCUUAAGAUUACAUGAUGCGCAACUGCAAACUGCAAGGAUUUUCUCCUCUUAUCAACAUAAGAUUUUUCCUACUUUUCCAGGCCUUCAUCCUUUCAUGUAUCUUAUUCACCUUUUCUUUGGUUUGCUUUAACAACUCAGUUCCUACCAACACUGCCUCUCCAUUUUGGUAGCAACACAUAGGAGUUAUGCAUCGCCUACCAUAUAGAGCCUCAUGUAGUGUCAAACUAAUACUUACCUGAUAACUAUUGUUGUAGGUGAACUCCACCAAAGGAAACACUUCAUCUUAUCCAUCCAGAUGAUCCAACUCAUAAGUCCUCAUCAAGUCCUCCAAAGACUGAAUUAUUCUCUCUAACUGCCCAUCUGUCUAAGGAUGGUAGGCAUAACUAAUCCUCAACUUGCUACCCAAGGCAUCUUGUAGGGUUUAUCAAAAUCUAGAAGUAAAUCGUGGAUCUCUAUCUGACACAAUGCUCGAAGGCAUUCAAUGUAGCAUCACUAUUUCGUUUACAUACAACUUUGCCAGCUUUGUCACAAACAUCCUCUGUUAGUUGCUACAAAUUAAGCACUCUUUGACAGUUUAUCCACUAUCACCUAGAUGGCAUCAUGACCUCUCACAGAUCGUAGCAAAUGGGUAACAAAAUUCAUAGUCAUACUAUCGUAUUUCUUCUCUAGUAUUUCUAAGGGUUGCAACACCCCAUCAGGUCUUUAAUGCUCCACUUUCGUCUUUUAAUAGGUUAAAUAAACUACUAAAAAUUGUGCUACAUCACGCUUCAAGCCACCAAAAAUAUUCCUUAAGGUCUUGGUACAUCUUAGUCAUGUCAGGAUGCAUGCUAAGACAACUAUUAUACCCUUCCUCAAGGAUUUGCCUUUUCAAUUCUGCAUUGUUUAAUACACAAACUUUUUUCUUCAAACAUCAAAACAUUGUCUUAUCGCAUCACAAAUUCCUUAGCCUAUUCGGUGCCAAACAACUUCACUAUCUUUUGUAGACUAGGAAUCUGACAACUAACUCUUUUUUAUCAAACUUAGAAAAUCACUAGAUAACUACAUCUAAUGAAAUUUGCUCCCAACUUUUCUUGUAGCUUCAUAUCUCUAAAAUUAUUUACUAACUCAAGCUUUUUUAUCAUCAUAUGAGAUACAUGCAUCGUCUUCCUAUUCAAAGCAUCAACCACUACAUUCGACUUUCUUGAAGGGUAUAGUAAUUGAAAGUCAUAAUCUUUCAGAAAAUUUAUCGAUCGCCUCUACCUCGUAUUCAAGCCUUUCUAAUCAAACAAAUACUUCAAACUUUUAUGGUCACUAAAUACUUCGAACUAUGCACUAGAGAGGUAGCGCCUCCAUAUCUUCAAAGCAAAAACCACCGUAGCCAACUCCAAAUUAUGAGUAGGAUAAUUCUUCUUAUAAAUUUUUAGUUGCCUUAAAACGUAAGCCACUACCUUCUUAUCUUGUAUAAGCACAUAACCUAAUGCUUGGUGAGAAGCAAGACAGUAAAUCUUAAAGGAUUUACUUUUGUCAAGGAUUACCAACAUUGGAUCACUUGUCAAACUUUGCUUCAACUCUUGAAAACUUUCUUCGCACUUGUCUUUCCAAGAAAUUAGUUGAUCUUUGUGAGUUAACGACGCCACUAUUUUAGAGAAUCAUUCUAUGAAUCUCCUAUAAUAGUCAUCUAGAUCUACAAAACAUAAUAUGUGUCAUAGAAUUAGGUUAUUCCCAUUGCAACAUUACUUCCAGUUUAGUUGGAUCCUCCGCUAUGCCCUAAUAUCACAUGCCUCAGAAAAUGAUCAUCCUUCAUCCAAAACUCACAAUUAGAUAGUUUGGCAUACAACUUCUUCUCUCUCAAAAUGCUAAGCAUUGUCCUAAGAUGUCCAACAUGCUCCUUAUGAGUUUUGGAGUAGAUACAAAUGUCGUCUAUAAAAACCAUAACAAAUUUAUCUAAGAAAGGUCGAAAGAUCUUGUUCAUAUGAUCCAUGAAUAAGGCAAGAGCAUUAGUCACACCAAAAGGAAUAACUACAUAUUCAUAAUUUCAUAUCUAGACUUGAAGGCUAUCUUCUGGAGAUCCUCAACCUUUACAAGAAUUUGAUGAUAUCUUGAUCUCAAAUUUAUCUUGGAAAACAUCACAACAUCAUUAAACUGAUCCAUCAAGUCAUUUAUCCUUAGUAAGGGGUACUUGUUCUUGAUGGUAAACUUAUUCAACUGCUAGUAGUCCACACAUAGUGUAGAACUAUCACCCUUCUUCUUCACCAACAACACUAAUGCUCCCCAUGGUGACACACUUGGCCUUAUGAACUAUUUCUCCAACAACUCCUCUAUCUUCUUUAUCUCAAUCAACUCUGUUAGAGCCAUAUGAUAAAAGGAUAUUGAUAUUAGACUUACUCUUAGUACCAGAUCAAAAGAGAACUUCAUUUAUCUCUGAAAAGGUAACAUUAGUACUUCAUUCAAAAAUGUAUCUUCAAACUCCCCCACAAUAGGUAUUUGUGCACCUCUAUCAUCUUUAAUAACCUCCAAGUGAGUCAAGAUAUUAAAGCAUUAAAUCCCUUCUUUGGCUUCUUUCAAAACAUAAUGAUAGGACAAUAACUUUGACUCGAAUGCAUUAGGAAACAAUAACUUCUUACUUCAAUCAAUAAGAAUGCGGUUGGUAGACAACCAAUCCAUUCCUAAGAUCACAUCCGACCCUUGUAGGAGUAGGUAAAUAAGAUUAGCCUUGAACUUACACCCAUCUACUAUCAUUGGAAAUCUAGCACAUAACUUAAACAUCUUGACCAGACUUGAAGCUAUAGUAGAUAUCAGUAGAUCAUACUAUUGUUUCGUCACCAAUAAAGCCAACUAUUGAACACAAGAUUCCAACACAAAAAGAAUGUUUCGCUUCAAAGUCAUACAAAACACACAAAUUUAUACCAGCUAUAACACAACAUCCAACUAUAAGGUUGCCUGAACUAGUUACUUUUGUUCCGGUCAUAGCAUAAAAUCUCUGUGAUGCCUGAGGUCUGUCACCUCUCUUCUUCUACUAGAACUAUGGUUGAGUUUGUAUCACUACACUCUUGCUAGAAGAACAAUCUCUUUCAUAAUGUGCUACCCUCCCACAUAAGUUUCAUUUCUUGUAACCAACAAGGCGUGGGCAUUCACCUUUGUAUGGGUUCGUCCACAAUAAUAACAAUGUAUCCUAUGGUUUUGGGACUGCUACUGGAAAGAAGUUUCCCUAAACCCCUGAGGGUGAAGCCUGCAGUAAGGCUUCUUCCUCUCUUCAUGUUUAGGUUUAGACUCAAACGAUCCUUCCUCUCUUCAUGUUUAGGUUUAGACUCAAACGAUCCUUCCACUCUUAAUUUUUUUUCCCAAGUAAACUACACAUGCAAUUUCACAAUUCAGAAUACAACUCACCAUUCAUUUUAACACGUCAAAACGAAACUCCAUAGGAAAUUAGUUAAGGUAGCUUCUCUCACCUUAAUAUUAGCGUCAAAACAUAUUUACAACACCCACAAGCCUUUCAACUCACUAAAUCUCAAACUUAACCUAGAGGCAAUGUAAAAACAAACAGAUCAAACCAAAAGGACCACUAAUAAGAAAAAAAGUGAAAAAAAAGACUCUAGAAGCACAUGCAACCCAAUAAGAAUUGUUUGCAAAGCCAAAAACAGAUUAGAUAUUAAAAGAGAACAAAAUUUUCAACUUACUUGAAAGGAAAUUUUAUUCCAUUAAACUUAAAGAGUUUUCUACAAUGAACUCAACAUCACAAAGAAGAUGGAGAUUUGAGUUAAGAAAAUGAAAAACAUAAUGAGUUAAAGAGAAACUAAGGUUAAAUUGAGAAAGAAAAAAAAAAUUCUGAGUUUGAAACUUUAAAAGUGAAUAAUUUUUUAGGCCUUUUAAAUAAAAAUAGAUUUAAAAUUUUAAAAGGGUUUUACACAAAACAUUGCAAUUAAAAUAGCACCAACAUUCUUAAGUCUGGUGGACAUCAUGUCAAUGAAAAUGAUCAAAGGUAACAUCAAUUGUUGGGAGAGUAGGAGUAUUAAUGUAAUUAUUAUGCAAAGCAAGACAAUGAAAAAAAGGAUUAGAGUGGGACCGAAUUAGAGAGAAGGCUUUUAUUAUGGUAUCUUGUAUGAAUAAUGAAUUGAUAGGCGCCUGAUCAAUCACUUUCCUGUAUGGUGAUUUUAUAGUAGAUCUGUGCAUGAAAUGGACCAACCAUGAGUAAUAUUGUCUUAUACUAUUUGGAAUCCUUCUAUUUUUAAUGAUUUUAUCUUGGCAUUGGUAUUCACUACUCUGUCUGUAUCUCAUAAACAAUUAAAUAUAUACUACUGAAAGACUCGUUAUUGGUUUGUGCCUUGCUUUUGUUUGAUACCUCUUUAGUCUUUAUCGUUUCCCAUGUGCACCUUCCUUUCAUCUCAAACUAAGCUAUACACUGAAAACCCGCAUGUUUUGGGCGUUUCGCUAUAAUAGUCUUUUAAUUUACACGCUCCUGCCACCUCAUAUUCAUAAAAUUGAUAAAACUUUGAAACUCAACAUCAUUCAUUUUUUUCAUCUUGUUUCGCCAUAUAUAUUUUGCCUUCGAUCUAUACCUAAACAACAUCUUCUACCCUUUUAAUAAUAUAUAUAUAUAUAUAUGGUGGUAUUCAUGUACCAAAAGCUUCUUCCCAUCUGCAUUAUUUUCCUUCACUUGUUCCAAAAAUUAAUAUGCCAAACACAAGAAAUCUGAGGCAGCUCAACCUCAACAUGUGCUGCUCAAACUCAGCUACUCCUGACUCAGAAACUCCUCCAUUGAGUCCUAUUACUACUUGUUCACAUCACCAUACUCACUCUGCAUCUCCUUCUUCCAUUAUGAUAAAGAACUUUAACUCUAUCUAUGACCCUACCUUAACCUCUAACAACUCUUUCACCUCCACUUUCUUCUCCACCACCACCUUCUUAGAACCAGAACCUCAACCUCAACCUCAACCCGCCGACU
rnacentral:lncRNA from 1 species